CUGCCGAGGAAUACGGGAAGAGGACAACACCCAAACUGGCAUGAUGUAACAGGAGAGUGAAAACGCAGCCAGGAGCCCCCAGUGAUGCAGCAACUAGAUGGAAAAUGGGAUCUGGUGAUGCUGAUGACAUAAUAUCAGACCAACUCAAGAGACAAAAGAUGGAUCCAUAAAAGCAAACGGAAGACUUGCUGUCA
rnacentral:lncRNA from 1 species